CAGGGGUGAAGUAAAGAAGUUGCAUAAAAUUUAUUUUUUCCACCUUGUUUUACAACAUUCCCUUUGAAGGUCUUACACAUCUGCGACAUGUAACUCCACAGAACAAUAAAUAAUUGGCAUUCAUGUUUCUCUUGACUCAGGAUAUUUACAGGUUGUUUAGCUGGAUGACAGGUACAAAACAUCGGCAUCACAGUAAAUACCAGUUUGACACCAGAAUCCAUUUCCCCAUUAAAAAUUAAAUUAACUUAACACUGAGGUUUUAAACAAUUUUAACAAUGAAAACUGUUCUCAAAGGCAUAUAAGUACACAAGUUGUCGUAGGCAGUAGUAAUGGACCAUAUUGGCAAAGCUGUGAACCACAAGAUUUCAUGCAAAUAAUAGAGUUUAACACUUAUGACAUAACUAAUAAUAAAUAAAGAGCCCAUCGUGCUGAAAUGGCCCCAGACACUGUGGGACGAGCCCAGUGGCACAGGAACAGCUCAGGACACUGAGCUGCACAAGGCAGGGCUCACAUCCCUGAUGGGGCAGAGCUCUCUGGGCAAACCAGGGCCCUGUGGGGCAGCAGAGCAGCAGCAGCUUUCCCACACAGAAACCCCAGAGAGCAGCUGCAGGAUUCCCUGACAAACCCAGCUCCCCUCCAGCACCACUCCCAGGCAGCUCCAGAGGCCCAGGCUGUCCUGGGCUGGGCUGGGCCAGCUCUGGGAGCACAGGAGAACACCCUGCUGCAGCCCCAGCACACAGUGCUCACCCCAAGGGGACACCAGGGAUGGUCCUGAGCACCCCUCAGCUCAAACAGCCCUGAUCAGACCCCGCACAGUCUGUGGGACACAGAAUGUUGGGUUUCCACUGCCCCACGAGCUCUGCAGAGGAGAGAAAUGCAGAGGAGAGGGGAUAGGGAGGGUGUGACACACCUGGAAUUGCUGCAGAGUGUGCCACAAAGCCUCACCCUCAGCACGGGGUGAUGGCAGCCACGGGCAGCAGGAGCACAGUGAGACUGCACUGGCAGCCAGGGGCACCACCUGGGGCAGCCCGAAGCACACAGGUCACACAUGAACUGCCACAGCACAGAACCCACACUGAAAGGAAUAGGAAGAACACUAAGGCCACGAACAAGAUACUGCACAGAAGAAGAAAACAAUGCUUCACUCCCCAAAAGUACAAAUUAUGAGCAUACUAGAGGAAAAGAUGAAAUUUCCAGCAGAGAAUCCAUUUAUUUUAAUGUAUAGUAAAUAGGAACAUGUGUAUUAAAUUUUGUUUUUAAAAAUAUUUUUAAAUAACUUAUGAGAAAUGGAUUGCAAACAUAAAGUGCUAAACUUGAAAAACAGAAGUGUUCAUCUUUCCUGCUGUUUGUUAGAUGGCAGUUUUAGUCUCUGACUGCUUUAAAAAGAUGUAGUAUAUAUCCAGGCAGAAAUGACUUCUGGAUUUACUACCUUGUGCAAAAACACAAACUGCAAAGAACAUAAUCCACGCCCCAAAACACAGCUCUAGAUCACUAUCAACUCUACUAAAUUGCUACUAAACUUAUGAUUCAAUAAAUACAAAUGAAAUCACAGUUCACUCCCUUUCUUGGUGUAAGCUAAUAGUUUGCAAAUAUGGUCCACUCAGUGUAAACUGUAUUGACUUGAGGAAACAGUGAAUUCUACCAUUUAUAUGUCUCAAAUAUUUACACACAGUAGCUUGGCACUGUUGCUGUUGCAGGACACUGAGCUACCAACACACAGGAGAGGGGCAAGGCUGGGGACCAGAGCCCAGGGGGACUGGGCUGCCCAGUCACCACCUGGGGCCAAGAGGAGUUCUUGCUUCUUGUACUUAAACUAAUGAAAGCAAAUUGGAUGGGAUAUUGAGAAGAAAUUCUGGCAGGGUGGGCAGCCCUGGCACAGGAUGCCCAGAUCAGCUGUGGCUGCCCCUGGAUCCCUGGCAGUGCCCAAGGCCAGGCUGGACAGGGAGGUCCAGCCUGGGACAGUGGAAGGUGCCCCUGCCAUAGCAGGGGCAGCACUGGAUGGGCUUUAAGGUCCCUUCCAACCCAAACCAUUCCAUGAUUCUCUGAAAUGCUGUCUGGGGACUCCAGAGCAGUGGCAUGGCCAACACUAUCCUGUCAUGAUGAAGACAACGUUGAGGACCUUUCUGGCAAAACGGCAUUAAUUAAUUAAUUCACAGGAGGCUGUGAGCCCAACUGCCAGAAGGGAGCCUUGGCUCUGCCUUGGGACAGGAGCCCAGGCCCUGGUUCUGCUCUGGGACAGGAGCUCAGGCCCUGGUUCUGCUCUAGGACAGGAGCUCAGGCCCUGGUUCUGCUCUGGGACAGGAGCCCAGGCUCUGCCUUGGGACAGGAGCUCAGGCCCUGGUUCUGCUCCGGGACAGGAGCUCAGGCCCUGGUUCUGCUCCGGGACAGGAGCCCAGGCCCUGGUUCUGCUCUAGGACAGGAGCUCAGGCCCUGUUCUGCUCCGGGACAGGAGCUCAGGCCCUGGUUCUGCUCUGGGACAGGAGCUCAGGCCCUGGUUCUGCUCUGGGACAGGAGCCCAGGCCCUGGUUCUGCUCCGGGACAGGAGCCCAGGCCCUGGUUCUGCUCUGGGACAGGAGCUCAGGCCUGGGCUCUCUCCCCCCGGGCAGCCAAGUAACAAGGGUCCCAAGCAGUGCCAGCUCCACCCAUGGUUUCUCUGAUGUGGGAAGAAGACAGCAAGCAGCUAAUUUAGCACAGACUGAGGAGCCUCAGACAAGGAUGGCUGCCACUAAAAGCCCAUCCAUGCUUGAUGCACCAACUCAGCUCUAAAAGGUCCCUGUAAGUCUCUGUCCUUCUACUGAGAAGCCCAAGUACGUGUGGCUCUCCUCAUGAAAUUAUAAUGUGGACUAAAUAAUUAUAAUAAUGACAGAACUCACCGAGUUUAAUUUUUGUGAAUGAAAAACACAUAAAUUUGCUCUGCACUCAGCCUAAUGCCUUUGUCUGAACCCACUCUUGUGAUUCAGGUUUGGUUUUUAGAGCCAAGCAAGUGCAAGGCUCCAAAAAGUGCCUCUCUGCAGGGAGCAUGUCAUUAAAACAUCCACCUAGGAGUGCCUCUGCUUACUUGCAGCUCAUCCUCAAAGUUUCACACUAACAGGAAACAGAUUUCAUGGAGCUGUGAGGAGUAGCAGCUCUGUGACCUCUCCUUUCAGUCUCCAAGGAUUCAAGACACGUCUGCCACAUUGUCUGCAGAACAGUACGAGACUCUUCUCACGUUGUCGACACAUUUCAAGGAUGAUCAACUGCAAAGUUCUGUUCCAAAGAGGAUUUGCUUUAGUUUAGAUAAUUUUCUCC